CUACGUAGGGUGCAAGCGUUAAUCGGAAUUACUGGGCGUAAAGCGUGCGCAGGCGGUUCGGAAAGAAGGAUGUGAAAUCCCAGGGCUCAACCUUGGAACUGCAUUCUUAACUACCGAACUAGAGUAUGUCAGAGGGGGGUAGAAUUCCGCGUGUAGCAGUGAAAUGCGUAGAUAUGCGGAGGAAUACCGAUAGCGAAGGCAGCCCCCUGGGAUAAUACUGACGCUCAUGCACGAAAGCGUGGGUAGCAAACAGGAUUAGAUACCCUGGUAGUCCACGCCCUAAACGAUGUCAACUAGCUGUUGGGCCCUUCGGGGCUUAGUAGCGUAGCUAACGCGUGAAGUUGACCGCCUGGGGAGUACGGUCGCAAGAUUAAAACUCAAAUGAAUUGACGGGG
rnacentral:rRNA from 1 species